GCCUGGAUAGCUCAGUCGGAAGAGCGUUCGCCCGGCAAGCGGAAGGUCCCAGGUUCGAAUCCCCGGUCUAGUCC